rnacentral:rRNA from 1 species
AUUGAACGCUGGCGGAAUGCUUUACACAUGCAAGUCGAACGGCAGCACGGACUUCGGUCUGGUGGCGAGUGGCGAACGGGUGAGUAAUAUAUCGGAACGUAUCCAAUAAUGGGGGAUAACUAAUCGAAAGGUUGGCUAAUACCGCAUACGUCCUACGGGAGAAAGCUAGGGACCUUCGGGCCUGGCGUUAAUGGAGCGGCCGAUAUCAGAUUAGCUAGUUGGUGAGGUAAAGGCUCACCAAGGCGACGAUCCGUAGCUGGUCUGAGAGGACGACCAGCCACACUGGAACUGGGACACGGUCCAGACUCCUACGGGAGGCAGCAGUGGGGAAUUUUGGACAAUGGGCGAAAGCCUGAUCCAGCCAUUCCGCGUGAGUGAAGAAGGCCUUCGGGUUGUAAAGCUCUUUCGCAAGAGAAGAAAACUUACCCUCUAACAUAGGGUGAGGUUGACGGUAUCUUGAUAAGAAGCACCGGCUAACUACGUGCCAGCCGCCGCCGUAA